AAGCAGCAAGCAGCCCAUGACAAAUAUGUGCACUGCCAGCUAAUGAAUAUUGGAGAACAUGACACGUUGGAGAGCCCAGUGGGUCUUGAAAGUCUGAGUUCCAGCAAAUUCUCAUGUCUGCAUCGACUGCAGCAAGGUCAAAAGUUGGAAAGCAGGGAUAUUCGUUUUGCAGCCACAUCAGUUUCUGAUUAGACUUACAAUUUAAGUGGGGAAGUGACUUUGGAAGAGACAUGCGUGCUGUCAGCAGAUGGGAGAGAGGAUGGAGAAAGAUGGAGGGAGGCUGCUGUAACACCUGUUCUGGUUGGGAUUCUGAAUGAAUAUGAAAGAUCUAAUGUCUCUCACUAUCAAGUUCUAACCUAGAACUACUACACACUGCGCAAAAAGGUCCUUGAGAAUGUAAUUUGUCUGCCUUUCCACAAUGUCAUGGAGAUUUACAAGGAUGUGGUAGUGAUGUGAGUUGACAACAGUCAAUUGGACAUUACCCUUUUAUUCCUACUGCCCUGAAUACUGUAGGAAGCAAUAAAAAUUUGUUCACAUUAA
rnacentral:lncRNA from 1 species